UACGUAGGGCGCAAGCGUUAUCCGGAAUUAUUGGGCGUAAAGAGCUCGUAGGCGGUUUGUCGCGUCUGCCGUGAAAGUCCGGGGCUCAACUCCGGAUCUGCGGUGGGUACGGGCAGACUAGAGUGAUGUAGGGGAGACUGGAAUUCCUGGUGUAGCGGUGAAAUGCUUAGAUAUGAUGUAGAACACCGAUUGCGAAGGCAGCUCACUAAGCAGCGAUUGACGCUGAGGCACGAAAGCGUGGGGAGUCAAACAGGA
rnacentral:rRNA from 1 species